rnacentral:piRNA from 1 species
UGGGAAUGGUCAAUCAUAUGGAGCAUUUUC